GUGGGGAAUAUUGGACAAUGGGGGGAACCCUGAUCCAGCCAUGCCGCGUGUGUGAAGAAGGCCUUUUGGUUGUAAAGCACUUUAAGCGAGGAGGAGGCUACCGAGAUUAAUACUCUUGGAUAGUGGACGUUACUCGCAGAAUAAGCACCGGCUAACUCUGUGCCAGCAGCCGCGGUAAUACAGAGGGUGCAAGCGUUAAUCGGAUUUACUGGGCGUAAAGCGCGCGUAGGUGGCCAAUUAAGUCAAAUGUGAAAUCCCCGAGCUUAACUUGGGAAUUGCAUUCGAUACUGGUUGGCUAGAGUAUGGGAGAGGAUGGUAGAAUUCCAGGUGUAGCGGUGAAAUGCGUAGAGAUCUGGAGGAAUACCGAUGGCGAAGGCAGCCAUCUGGCCUAAUACUGACACUGAGGUGCGAAAGCAUGGGGAGCAAACAGGAUUAGAAACCCGGUAGUCC
rnacentral:rRNA from 1 species